rnacentral:rRNA from 1 species
GAUUCCCUCAGUAAGGGCGACUGAAGCGGGAAGAGCUCCAAUUGUGAAUCUGUGAUUUGAAGCGCCGAAUUGUGGUGUGUAUGCGAUACGAAACAUAUGGCCCGGAUAAAGUUCCUUGGAACAGGACAGCACAGAGGGUGAGACUCCCGUUCUGUCUGGCUUUAGCUUUAGAAUGCGUACAUAUACGAGUCGAGUUGUUUGGGAUUGCAGCUCAAAGUGGGUGGUAAAUUCCAUCGAAAGCUAAAUAUUGGUGGGAGACCGAUAGCGUACAAGUACCGUGAGGGAAAGAUGCAAAGAACUUUGAAAAGAGAGUUAAAGAGUACCUGAAAUUGCUGAAGUGGAAGCGAAGGAAACCAGUGUCUUGCACGCUAUAUUUCCUUGUUCGCUUGUGGACAGGGCGCUGUGGCUGCAAUGGUCAUGUUUGAUUGGUUGGGUCGGAAAUGCGCGUAUCGGAGAUUAGACCUGAUUGCGACCGUUCUCGAUUGAGCUGAGGUGACGAAAUGGUUUUCUUUACCCCGUCUUGAAACACGGACCAAGGAGUCUAACAUAUGUGCGAGUACAGAGGUGUCAAACCUCCGUGCGCAAUGAAAGUGACAGUGGCGGGACGCUUUUAAUGUGCACCAUCCGCCGGCCUCAAUCCCUCGGGAGAACGGUCUGAGUGUGAGCAUACAUGUUGGGACCCGAAAGAUGGUGAACUAUGCCUGAAUAGGGCGAAGCCUGGGGAAACUCAGGUGGAGGCUCGUAGCGAUUCUGACGUGCAAAUCGAUCGUCAAAUUUGGGUAUA